GACGAACGCUGGCGGCGUGCUUAACACAUGCAAGUCGAACGGAAAGGCCCUGCUUUUGUGGGGUGCUCGAGUGGCGAACGGGUGAGUAACACGUGAGUAACCUGCCCUUGACUUUGGGAUAACUUCAGGAAACUGGGGCUAAUACCGGAUAGGAGCUCCUGCUGCAUGGUGGGGGUUGGAACGUUUCGGCGGUUGGGGAUGGACUCGCGGCUUAUCAGCUUGUUGGUGGGGUAGUGGCUUACCAAGGCUUUGACGGGUAGCCGGCAUGAGAGGGUGACCGGCCACAUUGGGACUGAGAUACGGCCCAGACUGCUACGGGAGGCAGCAGUGGGGAAUAUUGCACAAUGGGAGGAAGCCUGAUGCAGCGACGCCGCGGGCGGGAUGACGGCCUUCGGGUUGUAAACCGCUUUCGCCUGUGACGAAGCGUGAGUGACGGUAAUGGGUAAAGAAGCACCGGCUAACUACGUG
rnacentral:rRNA from 1 species